UUUUUACCGUUCAUAUUUGGUUAAUUUUUACUGUCGGGUAUCAUGUGUUGCAUCUAUUUCAAGUUUUUGUAUUAUAGUUGGAUGAGGUAAUGAUCAAUAGCGGUAGUGGAUGAAAUGAUCACUCCACUUACUAUUUAUUAUUGUGAAGGAUCUUCCCAGAAAGUCGAUAUUGCUGAAGAAAAGAUCGGAUGCAACUUCUAAAGCUU
rnacentral:lncRNA from 1 species